rnacentral:lncRNA from 1 species
CCCUCUGCAGCAUUGACUUCUCAUUUUCUGCAGGAUCAGCAUCACUUUGAAGAACAAGGGGCUUUGUAAUGUAGUUGUACGUUAUUCCCAUAAGCAUCUAAGUGCCUCCUGGGACUGCAUGAUGGCUCAAGAUGCUUCAUAAUUUAUUCCUUCUCACGUUUUUCAGCUGUGCAAUGAAACAUUUGUGAAUAUCCAGGAAUGAGAGUCCUUACAGAUGGCAUUGACAUGCACCAGGCUCACAUGGAAACCGCCACAUCACCUGCAGGAAGGAGAACAAGAAGGUCAUUU